GCCCGGGUGGUGGAACUGGUAUACACAGCAGACUUAAAAUCUGCCGCCUUUUGGCUUACGGGUUCGAGUCCCGUCCCGGGUACCA
rnacentral:tRNA from 1 species